UACGGGGGGAGCAAGCGUUGUUCGGAAUUACUGGGCGUAAAGGGCGCGUAGGCGGCGCGGUAAGCGUGCGGUGAAAGCCCGGGGCUCAACCCCGGGUCGGCCGUGCGGACUGCCGGGCUGGAGCACUGUAGAGGCAGGUGGAAUUCCGGGUGUAGCGGUGGAAUGCGUAGAGAUCCGGAAGAACACCGGUGGCGAAGGCGGCCUGCUGGGCAGUAGCUGACGCUGAAGCGCGACAGCGUGGGGAGCAAACAGG
rnacentral:rRNA from 1 species